rnacentral:rRNA from 1 species
UCUUGGAUUACUAUAAGAGGUCCAGCCUGCCCAGUGACUUUGUUCAACGGCCGCGGUAUCCUAACCGUGCGAAGGUAGCGUAAUCACUUGUCUUUUAAAUGAGGACUUGUAUGAAUGGCAUCACGAGGGUUAUACUGUCUCCUUUUUCUAAUCAGUGAAACUAAUCUUCCCGUGAAGAAGCGGGAAUAAAAAUAUAAGACGAGAAGACCCUAUGGAGCUUUAAACUUAAUAACAAAUACUAACCUUACUUCAACUUCCAGAACAUAAAUCUUAAUUUUAGUAUUGUGUUUGUUAGUUUUAGGUUGGGGUGACCGCGGAGUAAAAAUUAACCUCCAUAUUGAAUAGGACUUGUCCUUGAGCUAAGAACUACAACCCUAAGCACCAACAAAUUGACAUUAAUUGACCCAAUAUUUUGAUCAACGAACCAAGUUACCCUAGGGAUAACAGCGCAAUCCACUUCAAGAGCUCCUAUCGACAAGUGGGUUUACGACCUCGAUGUUGGAUCAGGGUAUCCCAGUGGUGCAGCCGCUACUAAAGGUUCGUUUGUUCAACGAUUAAAACCCUACGUGAUCUGAGUUCAGACGGGGUC